CAGAGUUGGAAGGUAGCAGAGCUGGGAUUUGGAGCCAGAUCUUUCUAGCUAACCUCCGUGUGCUAACAAACCAACAAGGAAUCUCGUAGAGGGCCCCCACCUGAUGACUGGCACAUGCUUUGUAGACAGGAUCAAGGAAUGAACGUGCCAUAUAAUGAAACAUGGCUUUUCUUGUUGGUGAUGUGCAAGGGGCUGGAGGAGGAAGACAUGAUCCAGUUGGCCUUUAAGGAAGCCCUCUCUAGUUUGCUGUGUGGAGUGGAUGUCAGAGACAUUGGGACAAGCUUCAGGUGCCUGGAAAAUCUGCCCCUCAUUGGCUGUGCGUAGAAGAUGAAAACUUGUCUGACUCACCAAGCCCACUUCACCUACCCAUAAUUCUACAGUCCCAGAGUAGGAGAACUCACCUGAAAAUGCAGAGAAAUAUCCUUAGGGCAGAAGCAAGCAGCCAUUUGGCCCCCACUAAACCACUUGUAGGUCAUGGAAGUGUCUCAGCCUUCUUGGGCAGCCAGACACUCCAUGAAUGAAUCCACACCCAUGCCCCUAAGAAAGCAAAGAGAUUGAUUUCGCCCUCC
rnacentral:lncRNA from 1 species